UUCUGAAAAGACCCCGGUGAGGUGUUUUUCAGCCCUAGCUAUACAUUGGAAUCAACUGGCAAACUUUGAAAAAAUCACAAAGCCUAUGCCACAACCCAGAGGUUCUGAGGUGCAGCCAGAGUAUAGAACCUGUAAUCUAGGUAAUGGCUCUCACUGGAAAACAGCUGUGGCACUGGUAUAGGAGCAAUGAGGGGCUCACGCAGAACUCCCUGUGUGGGCUCACCUGGCCUUCCAAAGGCCCAGCCUGACCACUUGGGACCAAAGUGACCCUUACUAUUAAAGGCUUCUAACAUUCACAGAAAGAAAGUACGUCAAGGGUGUGUGAAAUCAUGACAGAAGCUCCUCCUCCUAGGAACUAUCACAGGAAAUUACCCUUUAUACCUAAGAAUAAAGACCGAAUAGAGAGAAGCCAGCUCUAUCCACAACCAACAGAUGGCGCUAUUGUCCAAUGCCCUGCCAUUUAGGUCUCUGCCAACCACUUACUCCUUAAUACUUGGUAAUUUGCUGCAUUUGUGCAUGAUUUUGAAAUGUUCUAGAAACAUUUUUGACUCCACAUAUCUGAGAAGUGCAAAAGUAGCAAUAAUAUUAAAAGUGUUACUUAAAA
rnacentral:lncRNA from 1 species